AUGAAACGCCAACAACGCAGCGAGGUGGACGCCGGAAUAUGCCGCCGCCGUAGCCCACGCCUUCAUCCCCAAAUCCACGCCAGUGAUGAGAGUGCCACAGUGGCCAGCCGACGCAGCACGCGUCUCCAUCCCCAGAUCCACACGAGCGACGAGGGAGCCCGAGUAAUCCGCCGCCCCCGCGGCACCUUGCUGGACAACAACCAUGAUAUGCUCUGGGAGAUCCUACUCCGCCUCCCGCCGCAGCCGUCCUCCCUCCUGCGUGCAUCCGCCGUCUGCAAGCGUUGGCGAUGCGUGGCCACUGACCCCGAGUUCCUCCGCUGCUUCCGUGCCCACCACCGGAAGGCACCCCUCCUCGGCUUGCUCGUGUGUCGCAACAGCCACAAGAACGUGUUCCACCCCGUCCUGAAUCCUCCCGACCGCAUCCCUCAGAAGCGCUUCACCCUUGGAUGCUACAGUAAAGUACGUUACGGUGUGCUCAGUUGCCGCCAUGGUCGCAUCCUCGUCAAAGACUCAAAGAAUAAAGAGGUCGUUCUGUGCGACCCCAUCACAGGCGAGCGGCACCGCAUGCCCAUUCCACCGGCGUUCAACAUGAACAAUCUCAGCGGGGCGGUGCUGUGCGUCGCCGGCGACCAGGGCCAUGUGCACGGCAGCUGCCACUCUAGCCCCUUCAAAGUGGUUCUGUUGUCCAUGUACGUUCAUGAUGAUCGACGACCUCUGGUCCGUGUUUUCUCCUCACAGACCGGCAGAUGGGGCAAUCUCAUCUCAAUAGAGACUCAACCUAACACAAUGUAUGGUCCUUGUUGCCCCGACACCCUUGUUGGCAAUGUCAUUUACUGGUUGUCUAGGAGAGACGAUAUAGUUCAGUUUGAUUUGGAGGGGCAGAACCUUACCCUGAUCAAGGGGCCUCACAGUAUGAAUGAUUUUAGCAUAUGCCAGUGUCAGAUUAUACAGACAGAUGAGAGGAUUGUUGGUGUUGCCAUGUUAUCUAACGAUAACAUUCAAGUGUGGCAGAGGGAGGUCAAUCCUGAAGGUGUUUCCAUAUGGGUGUCCCAAAAGACAGUUGAAUUGCGUAACAUUAUUAAGACCCUUCCUCAAAAUUGGGAAACUAUGCCAUGGACCAAACUAGUGGGGUAUGAUGACGAUACCAAUGCAAUCUUUUUAUAUAUGCAUGAUAGUGCCUAUAUGGUUCAACUCAAAUCAAUGCAUUCCACAAAACUU
rnacentral:rRNA from 1 species